UAGCUUAUUAAAAGCAUUUCGCUUACACCGAAAAAAAGUCAACUAACUCAGACUACUUUGA
rnacentral:tRNA from 1 species